UACGAAGGGGGCUAGCGUUGCUCGGAAUCACUGGGCGUAAAGGGCGCGUAGGCGGAUCUUUAAGUCGGGGGUGAAAGCCCAGGGCUCAACCCUGGAAUUGCCUUCGAUACUGAAGAUCUCGAGACCGGAAGAGGUAAGUGGAACUGCGAGUGUAGAGGUGAAAUUCGUAGAUAUUCGCAAGAACACCAGUGGCGAAGGCGGCUUACUGGUCCGGCUCUGACGCUGAGGCGCGAAAGCGUGGGGAGCAAACAGG
rnacentral:rRNA from 1 species